GGCUCAGAUUGAACGCUGGCGGCAUGCCUUACACAUGCAAGUCGAACGGUAACAGCACUUCGGUGGCUGACGAGUGGCGGACGGGUGAGUAAUACAUCGGAACGUGCCCGAUCGUGGGGGAUAACUACUCGAAAGAGUGGCUAAUACCGCAUACGAUCUACGGAUGAAAGCGGGGGAUCGCAAGACCUCGCGCGGACGGAGCGGCCGAUGGCAGAUUAGGUAGUUGGUGGGAUAAAAGCUUACCAAGCCGACGAUCUGUAGCUGGUCUGAGAGGACGACCAGCCACACUGGGACUGAGACACGGCCCAGACUCCUACGGGAGGCAGCAGUGGGGAAUUUUGGACAAUGGGGGAAACCCUGAUCCAGCCAUGCCGCGUGCAGGAUGAAGGCCUUCGGGUUGUAAACUGCUUUUGUACGGAACGAAAAGACUCUUUCUAAUACAGAGGGUCCAUGACGGUACCGUAAGAAUAAGCACCGGCUAACUACGUGC
rnacentral:rRNA from 1 species